GUCCCUGUAGUGCAAUAAAUAGCCCGUUGGAUUUCUAAUCCAAAGGGUUCGAAUCCCACCUGGGAUG